rnacentral:rRNA from 1 species
AUUGAACGCUGGCGGCAUGCUUUACACAUGCAAGUCGAACGGUAACAGGCCGCAAGGUGCUGACGAGUGGCGAACGGGUGAGUAAUGCAUCGGAACGUGCCCAGUCGUGGGGGAUAACGCAGCGAAAGCUGCGCUAAUACCGCAUACGAUCUAUGGAUGAAAGCGGGGGACCGUAAGGCCUCGCGCGAUUGGAGCGGCCGAUGUCAGAUUAGGUAGUUGGUGGGGUAAAGGCUCACUAAGCCAACGAGCUGUAGCUGGUCUGAGAGGACGACCAGCCACACUGGGACUGAGAAACGGCCCAGACUCCUACGGGAGGCAGCAGUGGGGAAUUUUGGACAAUGGGCUCAAGCCUGAUCCAGCAAUGCCGCGUGCAGGAAGAAGGCCUUCGGGUUGUAAAGCUCUUUCGGCAGGAACGAAACGGCGAGCUCUAACAUAGCUUGCUAAUGACGGUACCUGAAGAAGAAGCACCGGCUAACUACGUGCCAGCAGCCGCUGUAAAAC